rnacentral:rRNA from 1 species
CGUCCCUACGGGACGCAGCAGUGGGGAAUAUUGCGCAAUGGGGGAAACCCUGACGCAGCAACGCCGCGUGAGUGAAGAAGGCCUUCGGGUUGUAAAGCUCUUUAAUCAGGGACGAAGAAUGACGGUACCUGAAGAAUAAGCUCCGGCUAACUACGUGCCAGCAGCCGCGGUAAUACGUAGGGAGCAAGCGUUAUCCGGAUUUACUGGGUGUAAAGGGCGUGUAGGCGGGCCUGCAAGUCAGAAGUGAAAUGCCGGGGCUCAACCCCGGAACUGCUUUGGAAACUGUACAGCUAGAGUGCAGGAGG